GGUGGCGGGAAGCCCGGGGCUGGGCUCAGGCCGCUAUGCCCUAGGGCGGGUUUACCCCGAGCGCUCCCGGUGCGGGAGAUGGGCGGGCAGGUGGGGCCGGCUCCCUGCCGAGGCUGAGUAACCCUUGUUCUCGCUAGUUUCUGGAGCAGAAGUACGGCUACUACCACUGCAAGGACUGCAACAUACGCUGGGAGAGCGCCUACGUGUGGUGUGUGCAGGGCACCAACAAGGUCUACUUCCGGCAGUUCUGCCGGACCUGUCAGAAAUCCUACAACCCCUACCGUGUGGAGGACAUCACUUGCCAGAGCUGUAAGCAGACCAGAUGCACCUGCCCUGUGAAAGUGCGCCAUGUGGACCCCAAGAGACCCCAUCGUCAAGAUCUCUGUGGGAGAUGCAAAGGCAAACGUCUCUCCUGUGAUAGUACAUUUAGUUUCAAAUAUAUUAUUUGACUGGGAUACUUGUUUAAAGAAUCUUGGUGUAAAAUUACAAUCAAAACAUAGCUUUUCUUUUGAAAGAAUAUAUAAUAUGGUGAGAUGUAGCUGGGCAAACCUACAAAUAAAGGUAUGGCAAAGCACUGGCAUAAUUGAGGCAUGCUUAUGUCUACCUUACUUAAUGAAAGUUACAACAUUCAUAGUUAAGAAUGAAAGAGAAGACUGUCAGCCACAGCUAUUCUUCGUUGUAUGACUUUCAUGUUAUGUUUCUGCUUCUGGCGGAGGCAGAAAUGUGACCUCUAUGCUUUCAGAGACCUUUCUGGGAUGGGAGUUAGACAGUUGUGUGUCAAACUGAGGUACAUUUUUUCCCCAAUUACACUCCAUAAGAGAUGGAUGAUUUAACACAAUGGAAAUCAGUGGUAUCCUUCUACAAACAGGCACACUACCUAGAAUUUCAAUUGAACAACAUCGUCUACAGUCACUAACUACUGUAGGAGUUGCAUACAACUUUCUUUGUCUACCAAACACUUUCACACUUGACUAGGGAAAGGGGUAGGCAGAUCAUUACACAUGGUCGUAGGAGCAAACUGGAGAUACAGGCAGUCCCCGACUUAAGCAGAUCCGACUUAUGUCGGAUCUGC